rnacentral:rRNA from 1 species
UACAGAGGGGGCAAGCGUUGUUCGGAAUUACUGGGCGUAAAGGGCGCGUAGGCGGCCUGCUAAGUCGAACGUGAAAUCCCUGGGCUCAACCCGGGAACUGCGUCCGAUACUGGUUGGCUUGAAUCCGGGAGAGGGAUGUGGAAUUCCAGGUGUAGCGGUGAAAUGCGUAGAUAUCUGGAGGAACACCGGGUGGCGAAGGCGGUGGUCGUCGGGC